rfam:Chitinophaga pinensis DSM 2588, complete genome.
GGGGUCGCCUGGUUUUGACAGCAUAGAUCUUUGAAAGUGUAAGCAUGUCGUGCGUUGUAUAAUUAGCACGUAAAUCUGAAUAUACAACCUUUAAUUGGCGAAUCUAACUACGCCAUGGCUGCCUAAUCAGCGAUUAGCGCACCCAUUUUGGCCGCCGCAGUUGCUGUCUGCUAGAACUGCCGCCGCCUAAUCAAAACCUUAGCGGAAUAGGUACUCAUGGUUUCUGUGAGUGAGUACUGAAACUAAACGGAUAAGGACCAGGCUGGUUAGUUGCGCCCCUGGCAAGGUCCCGACAAACUAAUGCGUAAAUAAGCAUGUAGAAAGCUUUCGGCGGAUAUGUUUGGACGCGGGUUCGAUUCCCGCCGACUCCACAA